UUGCUACUAUUUCAUAAUAUAAUAUACUCGACCAUGAAGAUUAAAUAAUUUCUCAAGUGGUCGCUGUGCACAAAAAAGAACAGAAAUAUAUGACAUCAUUUUAACCUAGGAGCACGGAUUCCACCCGGCCUUUUUUUUCUGGGAAAGAAAACUUCGACCCACGCCACAAACCUCUUGUAUAAUUAACUUGAAGUGCUCCUAUGAUUGCAGCCAGCACUCCCCAAAAGAAUGUACAAUCACCAAAAAUCAGGCAAUGACUUGUUCAGAGGCACAUGCCACAACUAUUCUACUCUAUUUGCACAUGUCAUAAUAAUUGAUUUCAUCAUUUCUUUAUCCAAAGACGUUUGAACCAUCACCUGCUCAAGAUGAUUACUGUUUAGGAUUAAAUUAUACUAUGCAUGAGUAUGAAAAUAGGUCAAUUUUGCGACUUCAUCACUUGGCUCAGCAAACUUCUCUAGUUCUUUAUUAGAACUUGGUCUGUGUGGCUGUUCCAACAAGGUCAACUUCUCGACUUCAUCACUCGGCUCUGCAAACUUCUCAAGUUCUUUAUUGCAACUUGGCCGGUGUGGCUGUUCUAACAAGGUCAAUUUACUAACUUCAUCACUUGGCUUUGCAGACUUCUCUACUUCUUUAUUGCAGCCUGGUCUGUGUGGUUGUUCCAACAAGGUCAAGUUACUAACUUCAUAACUUGGCUCUUCUUUCCGCGUCUUCAACUCACUUUCAACAUUUUUACCAAUUAACGAUCCAGGCUUUCUCAACAAUGUCAUGUCACUAAACUUCUCCUUCACUUGUCCACUCUGCAUUUUAAGAGAAA
rnacentral:lncRNA from 1 species